rnacentral:rRNA from 1 species
UACGUAGGGUGCGAGCGUUAAUCGGAAUUACUGGGCGUAAAGCGUGCGCAGGCGGUUCGUUGUGUCGGCGGUGAAAGCCCCGGGCUUAACCUGGGAAUGGCCGUCGAAACUGGCGAACUGGAGUGUGGCAGAGGGGGGUGGAAUUCCGCGUGUAGCAGUGAAAUGCGUAGAGAUGCGGAGGAACACCGAUGGCGAAGGCAGCCCCCUGGGCUGACACUGACGCCUCAGGCACGAAAGCGUGGGGAGCAAACAGGA